rnacentral:rRNA from 1 species
GACGAACGCUGGCGGCGUGCUUAACACAUGCAAGUCGAACGCAGUGGCGCACGGGUGAGUAACGCGGAAUCCACCUGCCCUUCCGGGGGAUACAACUGUGGGACACGACUUCUAAUACCGCAUACUGAAUUGGGGUAUCUCGUUUGAUUAGCUACUGGGAGGGGUAACGGCCAACCAAGGCGAUAAUCAGUAGCCGGGUGAGGAGGUGUAACGGCCACCUUGGGACUGAGCACCGGCCCAGACUCCUACGGGAGGAAGCAGUGGGGAAUAUGGGACAAUGGGCGCAAGCCUGCUGCAGCAAUGCCCGGUGUAUGAAGAAGGCCUUAGGGUUGUAAAGUACUUUCAGUCGGGAGCGUUAACGACCGAAGAAGCACCGGCUAACUCCGUGCCAGCAGCCGCGGUAAUAC